rnacentral:rRNA from 1 species
AACGAACGCUGGCGGCAGGCUUAACACAUGCAAGUCGAGCGCCCCGCAAGGGGAGCGGCAGACGGGUGAGUAACGCGUGGGAAUCUACCUUUUGCUACGGAAUAACUCAGGGAAACUUGUGCUAAUACCGUAUGUGCCCUUCGGGGGAAAGAUUUGUCGGCAAGAGAUGAGCCCGCGUUGGAUUAGCUAGUUGGUGGGGUAAAGGCCUACCAAGGCGACGAUCCAUAGCUGGUCUGAGAGGAUGAUCAGCCACACUGGGACUGAGACACGGCCCAGACUCCUACGGGAGGCAGCAGUGGGGAAUAUUGGACAAUGGGCGCAAACCUGAUCCAGCCAUGCCGCGUGAGUGAUGACGGUCUUAGGAUUGUAAAGCUCUUUCACCGGUGAAGAUAAUGACGGUAACCGGAGAAGAAGCCCCGGCUAACUUCGUGCCAGCCGCCGCAGUAAUAC